GUGGGGAAUUUUGCGCAAUGGGGGCAACCCUGACGCAGCGACACAGCGUGGAGGAGGAAGGUCUUCGGAUUGUAAACUCCUUUUAUAUGGGAAGAAUAGAUGACUGUACCAUAUGAAUAAGCACCUGCUAACUACGUGCCAGAAGCAUCGGUGAUGCGUAGGGUGCGAACGUUAUCCGGAUUUAUUGGGCGUAAAGAGAUGCGUAGGCGUUUCAGUUAGUCUUUCGUUAAAAGUCACGGCUUAACCGUGAAGAUGCGUUGGAUACUGCUGAAAUUGAGACAUGAAGGGGUGAACGGAACUCCAAGUGGAGCGGUGAAAUGCGUUGAUAUUUGGAAGAACAUCAGAGGCGAAGGCGGUUCACUGGUCAUUGUCUGACGCUAAGGCUCGAAAGCGUGGGUAGCAAAACGGAUUAGAAACCCCGGUAGUCC
rnacentral:rRNA from 1 species